CCUACGGGUGGCAGCAGUGGGGAAUAUUGGGCAAUGGAGGCAACUCUGACCCAGCAACGCCGCGUGAAUGAUGAAGGUCUUCGGAUUGUAAAGUUCUGUGAUGGGGGAUGAACACAAUGACGGUACCCCACUAGCAAGCCACGGCUAACUACGUGCCAGCAGCCGCGGUAAUACGGAGGUGGCAAGCGUUCUCCGGAAUGACUGGGCGUAAAGGGUGCGUAGGUGGUUUAGUAAGUUGGCGGUGUAAUUCCGGGGCUCAACCUCGGCGCUACCGCCAAAACGAUUAGACUAGAGUGCAGGAGCGGUAAGUGGAAUGUCUAGUGUAGCGGUGGAAUGCGUAGAUAUUAGGAGGAACAUCAGGGGCGAAGGCGACUUACUGGACUGUAACUGACACUGAGGCACGAAAGCGUGGGGAGCAAACAGGAUUAGAUACCCGAGUAGUC
rnacentral:rRNA from 1 species